UACCUGGUUGAUCCUGCCAGUAGUCAUAUGCUUGUCUCAAAGAUUAAGCCAUGCAUGUCUAAGUACAAGCCACAUUAAGGUGAAACCGCGAAUGGCUCAUUAAAUCACACCUAAUGUACUGGAUAGUAUCUUUUUACUUGGAUAACUGCGGUAAUUCUGGAGCUAAUACAUGCGUUAACCGCCCGAACCUGGCAACAGGUAGGGCUGCUUUUAUUAGUUUCUAAACCAACGCGCCUUCGGGCAAUCCUUUGGUGACUCUGAAUAACUUUUAGUGGAUCGCAUGGCCUUGCGCCGGCGACGUAUCCUUCCAAGGUGUGCCCUAUCAACUUUCGACUGUGGUAUAGACGCCCACAGUGGUUUUGACGGGUAACGGGGAAUUAGGGUUCGAUUCCGGAGAGGGAGCCUGAGAAACGGCUACCACUUCUAAGGAAGGCAGCAGGCACGCAAAUUACCCAAUGGUCGAAGACCGAGGUAGUGACGAAAAAUAACGAUACCGGACUCAUCCGAGGCCCGGUAAUCGGAAUGAGAACACUUUAAAUCCUUUAACGAGGAUCAAUUGGAGGGCAAGUCUGGUGCCAGCAGCCGCGGUAAUUCCAGCUCCAAUAGCGUAUAUUAAUGUUGUUGCGGUUAAAAAGCUCGUAGUUGGAUCUCGGCGAGCAGGGGGUGGUCGUCAAGCAUUGACGCACUGCUCUUUUUGCUUGCGAUUGGGGUGUACGUUGCCGGUGCUCUUAAUUGAUUGUCGGUUGCGGACACCGUGUUUACUUUGAAAAAAUUAGAGUGCUCAAAGCAGGCUAGUCGUCUGAAUAUUCGUGCAUGGAAUAAUAGAAUAGGAGGUUGUUACUAUUUUGUUGGUUUCGGUAGUGACCUAAUGAUUAAUAGGGACAGUCGGGGGCAUUAGUAUUCAAACGACAGAGGUGAAAUUCUUGGACCGUUUGAAGACUAACUACUGCGAAAGCAUUUGCCAAGAAUGUUUUCAUUAAUCAAGAACGAAAGUUAGAGGUUCGAAGGCGAUCAGAUACCGCCCUAGUUCUAACCAUAAACGAUGCCAGCUAGCGAUCCUUCGACGUUAUUUCAAUUAGGCUCGAGGGGAAGCUUCCGGGAAACCAAAGCUUGUGGGUUCCGGGGGAAGUAUGGUUGCAAAGCUGAAACUUAAAGGAAUUGACGGAAGGGCACCACCAGGAGUGGAGCCUGCGGCUUAAUUUGACUCAACACGGGAAACCUCACCAGGCCCGGACACUGGAAGGAUUGACAGAUUGAGAGCUCUUUCUCGAUUCGGUGGGUGGUGGUGCAUGGCCGUUCUUAGUUGGUGGAGUGAUUUGUCUGGUUAAUUCCGAUAACGAACGAGACUCUGUCCUGCUAAAUAGUCUCUGGGUUUUUAAUUGCCCAGAGUAUUCUUCUUAGAGGGACUGGCGGCGUCUAGCCGCACGAGAUUGAGCAAUAACAGGUCUGUGAUGCCCUUAGAUGUUCUGGGCUGCACACGCGCUACACUGAAGGGAUCAACGUGUCCCCCCUUCCCGAGAGGGACGGGUAACCCGUUGAACCCCCUUCGUGGUAGGGAUUGGGGCUUGCAAUUAUUCCCCAUGAACCAGGAAUUCCCAGUAAGCGCAAGUCAUAAGCUUGCGUUGAUUACGUCCCUGCCCUUUGUACACACCGCCCGUCGCUACUACCGAUUGAAUGGUUUAGUGAGGCCUCCGGACCUCGUGGCUAGAGGAUUUAUUUCUCUUGCUUAUGGGGGAAGCUGACCAAACUUGAUCAUUUAGAGGAAGUAAAAGUCGUAACAAGGUUUCCGUAGGUGAACCUGCGGAAGGAUCAUUA
rnacentral:rRNA from 1 species